AUACUUACCUGGCAGGGGGGAUACCGUGAUCAAGAAGGUGUUUCACCCAGGGCGGGGCUUGACCGUCGCACUCCGGUUGUGCCGACCACUGCGAAUUCCCCAAAUGUGGGAAUCUCGACUGAAUAAUUUCUGGUAGUGGGGGACUGCGUUUGCACUGUUACGGA